rnacentral:rRNA from 1 species
UACGUAGGGUGCAAGCGUUGUCCGGAAUUAUUGGGCGUAAAGAGCUCGUAGGCGGUCUGUCGCGUCUGCUGUGAAAACUCAGGGCUUAACCCUGAGCUUGCAGUGGGUACGGGCAGACUAGAGUGCGGUAGGGGAGACUGGAAUUCCUGGUGUAGCGGUGAAAUGCGCAGAUAUCAGGAGGAACACCGGUGGCGAAGGCGGGUCUCUGGGCCGUAACUGACGCUGAGGAGCGACAGCAUGGGGAGCGAACAGG